ensembl:rRNA 5S_rRNA 5S ribosomal RNA
GCUUACGGCCAUAACGCUCUUAGAAUGCCUGAUCUCCUCUGAUCUUGAAAGCUAAGCAGGGUUGGGCCUGGUUAGUACUUGGAUGGGAGACCACCUGGGAAUACCAGGUGCUGUAAAUU